rnacentral:rRNA from 1 species
AUGGGGUUGCUGCUGCUGCUUCACGUCGUCCUGGUCGCGGCGGCGGUGGGAGCCCCAGCGGCGCAGGCGUGGGGCAAGGAGGGCCACUACAUGACCUGCAAGAUCGCCGACGGUUUCCUGACGAAGGAGGCGUUGGCGGGGGUGAAGGCUCUCCUCCCGUCGUCGGCUAAAGGCGAGCUCGCGAAGGUGUGCUCGUGGGCAGACAACCAGCGCUUCCGGUACCGGUGGUCGAGCCCCUUGCAUUUUGCGGACACCCCCAAAGACUGCAAGUUCAGCUACGCCAGGGACUGCCACGACACCAAGGGUAACAAGGACGCGUGCGUGGUCGGGGCCAUCAACAACUACACCGCCGCGCUCCAGGACCCGUCCAGCCCAUAUGAUCGGACGGAGAGCCUGAUGUUCCUGGCCCACUUCGUGGGCGACGUGCACCAGCCGCUGCACUGCGGCCACGUGGAAGACCUCGGCGGCAACACCAUCCUCGUCCGCUGGUACAGGAGGAAGAGCAACCUGCAUCACGUGUGGGACGUGGACGUCAUCGAGCAGGCCAUGAAGGACUUCUACGGCAAAGACCNNNNNNNNNNNNNNNNNNNNNNNNNNNNNNNNNNNNNNAAGGACUGGUCCGGCGAGGAGAAGCAGUGGGAGGCGUGCCGCAGCAAAACCAAGACCACCUGCGCUGACAAGUACGCUCAGGAGAGUGCGGCGCUCGCCUGCGACGCGUACAAGGGCGUCAAGCAGGACUCCACCUUAGGAGAUGAGUACUACUCCGCGGCGCUGCCGGUCGUUGAGAAGAGGAUCGCUCAGGGCGGCGUCAGGCUGGCGGCCAUCCUCAACCGGAUCUUCAGCCGGAACGGCAGGCCGCAGAGCAUCUGA